rnacentral:pre_miRNA from 1 species
UUUGUACUCCCUCCGUCCCAAAAUUCUUGUCUUAAAUUUGUCUAAAUACGGAUGUAUCUAGUUACAUUUUAGUAUUAGAUACAUCCAUAUCUAAACAAAUGUAAGACAAGAAUUUUGGGACGGAGGGAAUACUAC